rnacentral:rRNA from 2 species
AAACGGGGUCUAAUACCGGAUACGACCUGCCGAGGCAUCUUGGCGGGUGGAAAGCUCCGGCGGUGAAGGAUGAGCCCGCGGCCUAUCAGCUUGUUGGUGGGGUAAUGGCCUACCAAGGCGACGACGGGUAGCCGGCCUGAGAGGGCGACCGGCCACACUGGGACUGAGACACGGCCCAGACUCCUACGGGAGGCAGCAGUGGGGAAUAUUGCACAAUGGGCGAAAGCCUGAUGCAGCGACGCCGCGUGAGGGAUGACGGCCUUCGGGUUGUAAACCUCUUUCAGCAGGGAAGAAGCGCAAGUGACGGUACCUGCAGAAGAAGCGCCGGCUAACUACGUGCCAGC